AUGGUGAAUGACUAGCCUUUCUAUGGAAUCUGAAAAUAUGUUACCAUAUGCUUCCACGCCAAAGGAAAACCUGAAUGACCAUCUCAUCAAUUUCACACCCUACAAGGAGAUUCACGGAACCUGAUGGAAUAAACUGCUGUGAGAGGGAGUAUUGAAAGAGCCAUUUCCUCAUCAUAAAGAUGCAGUAGCCAUAAUUAUUCCAAUCAUCCAAAAGAGAAGACUUUAAAGUACAGUAGUUAGCCAUCAAAAAGAGAAGGCUAAUAUCCAGUUAUGAGAGCAUUUUCCCAAGAUACUUCUCCCCUGGACCUUGUUCCCAGGCUCCGUGUGAAGCUGAACACUCCGCAUGAUCUCCCUGCCACCAUAGCAAGCUAUGAAGUUCAUUACACAUGCAGGUAGCAGACAAUACAGCUCUGCUUCCAUUUCUGAGCACCUACGGUAGACUGCCAUUAUUCAGUGUGCCAGCCUGUUUCCAAGCCUACAAUGUAUAGUUCCUCUAGUACGUAAACUCAUUUUUUUUCUCAGAGAGCCAAGUAGAGACACAGGCAGUUUUCUUCUCAAAAUGUGCCAGAAAUUCCAAAACAAUCUCAAAGCAUUAAAGGCUAUGUGCACAAAGUACAUGCAGUUGUAGAGUCCCUCUUUUGCAGAAACUUGCACCUCAGCCCACCAGCAUUUCCUUGGUGCUUCUCCUCCUGACCCUCAUCCUCAUGCACAGACCAUUGGAUAUUACUGCACUCACGUACUUGUGUACUUCUUUCUAACAGCUGACUGAAAUCUUUCCUACAUUUUCAGGGUGAUGGGCAGAAAGUUUUUCUCAGGAAACAUUGUAGGGAAGCUGGCAGGGGACAGUUAUAUAUAUGGGGAGGGUCACAUUCUAUUAUUCAUGGGUUUCCG
rnacentral:lncRNA from 10 species